GAGCAUAAGGAAGUGAGUCUUGUGUUAUUCUGAGCUGUUCAUCACUCACUUAUCAGCGGAGGAUGAUUGAGGAGCAAUUCCUGUCUUCAGCCUUUUCACCAACAAAAUAAAGUUUGCAUGUCUGCCUUUUGAGAAAACAGGAUGGCAGUCAACUUCUCUGAAUGUGAGAAGUUUCAGAUUGGCCUGCUCCCUACCAUGUACGGGGUUGAGUUUGUGGUGGCCUUGGCAGGAAACACGUUUGCCCUGUGGCUGCUGCUCAGCAAAGAAAAACGCAACUGGCACUCCGGUGUUGUCCUCUCCUGUAACCUGGCCAUCAGUGACCUGCUGUACAUCCUCACCCUGCCUCUGCUGAUUGUCUACUACGCACUGGGGAAACACUGGCUGUUCAGCGAGGCUGUGUGUAAAAUCGAGAGGUUCCUUUUCACCUGCAACUUGUAUGUGAGCAUUUUCUUCAUCAUGACAAUAAGCGUGAACCGCUGCAUAGGCAUCGUGUGCCCGUUCUUCACCCGCUCGUAUGUGGAACCUUUUCAUGUCAAAGUCAUCAGUGCCAUCUUAUGGAUUAUUGUUGGAGUCAUCUCGAGCCCUAUGCUGAAGUUUGCUUCUCUUUGUCAACACAGUUACAAUAACAACACGUUAUGUGUGGCUUUCUGUCACCAAACGUCUGACGACACGUCGGACUUUAUCUACAGAGUGUUCCUUGCUGUUUUUGGCUGUCUUGUUCCUUUCAUAGUAACUUUUACUUCUUACUGUCUGGUGUUUCGGGUUGUGUGGAAAAAUGUCAACAUAACGACACUUGAAAAGCGUAAAGUUGCCUUGUUAGUCUCAUCAGUGAUUGUCCUCUAUGCUGUUUCCUUUGUGCCCUAUCAUGUCUACCAAGUCUAUCAUCUGUAUUUGAGGAAAAGUGACCCCAAGAGCAUAAACUGUUGGGUCUACAAAAUGUACCAAGUGUCCAAGGGACUGGCAACGCUGAACAUGUGUAUCCAUCCCAUACUCUACAUGGCUGUGUUUGACAGUAUUAGAGUAGCAUGCUGUGGAAAGAGCUCAGAAGACAACCCAGAAGGAUGAGGAAGUAGAGCCUGGUUUCAGACUAAACAUAACUUUGCUGCAUGUAUCUUUGUAAGAUGCCUAAAUGUCACAGCUCUGUGCUAAAUACAUUUAAUCACAUCUGUUUGUAAUAAAAAUGUUCAUUUUUUCAAAGUUUUCCUCAUUUUAUACAUUACAUGUAAUUUAUACAAAUGGGAUCAAAUGUGUUUUCACUUUUUUGUCAAACUUAAUGUUUCAGGUCAUGCAACAAGUAUAUACUCUAUAUAUCAGAUAGAGUAAACACAAGAUGUAGUUUCCUUCCUGCAACUUGCAGGAAAAUAAAAUAAUUACCAUUAUAUUGUAAAUGUACUGCAAUGAACCAGGAGAAUUUCUUACAAAGGAGUUCAUAGUUAACCUCUAAAGCUACAUGUGGCUGCCAAAGAAGCCCACAUUAUCCGCAUUCUACAUCCAUAGUACUGAUAUGAUGGUUGUUUGGAUUGUCUUUUAUUUAUUAGUACAGGGAACUGAAUUUUGUCCAUAAACCUUUAUUUUGAAAGAAUUGGCGUCACGUUAGACCUUUAUUAUGAAGUUUCAGUGCCGGAAGUAUGUGCUGCAACUUCGCGGUGAUCCUCUUGAAGCUAGGCUAACGGAGAGGAUGCCGUCGAUUGAAUACGACGACUCCAAGCCCAGCUGGGCCGACCAGGUCGAGGAGGAAGGAGAUGAAGGCACUCUACCAUCUCCUAAGGAAACCAUUAAAGGAAACAUAAAAACUGUCACUGAAUAUAAAAUAGAUGAUGACGGAAAAAAAUCCAAGAUUGUGCGGACCUUCAAGAUCGA